rnacentral:rRNA from 1 species
UACGUAGGAGGCGAGCGUUGUCCGGAGUUACUGGGCGUAAAGAGCUCGUAGGCGGUUUGUCGCGUCGUCUGUGAAAUUCUGCAACUCAAUUGUAGGCGUGCAGGCGAUACGGGCAGACUUGAGUACUACAGGGGAGACUGGAAUUCCUGGUGUAGCGGUGAAAUGCGCAGAUAUCAGGAGGAACACCGGUGGCGAAGGCGGGUCUCUGGGCAACAACUGACGCUGAGGAGCGAAAGCGUGGGGAGCGAACAGG